rnacentral:rRNA from 1 species
GAUGAACGCUAGCGGCAGGCCUAACACAUGCAAGUCGAGGGGCAUCGGGAUUGAAGCUUGCUUCAAUUGCCGGCGACCGGCGCACGGGUGCGUAACGCGUAUGUAACCUACCUAUAACAGGGGCAUAACACUGAGAAAUUGGUACUAAUUCCCCAUAAUAUGGGCGCUCCGCAUGGAGGGCUCAUUAAAGAAAGCAAUUUUGGUUACAGACGAGCAUGCGCUCCAUUAGCCAGUUGGCGGGGUAACGGCCCACCAAAGCGACGAUGGAUAGGGGUUCUGAGAGGAAGGUCCCCCACAUUGGAACUGAGACACGGUCCAA